UUAUUUUUAUUAAAAGAACAAGAAGCAAGUUGGUGUCAACAUCCGUUGCCUUGAUUAUUUAAAUGCAUCACAAAAACUAACUCUGGUAGCAAAAAAUAGCAGUUUUAAAAAAAUGUAUAAACACGUACAAGCUAAAACUAAGCCAACAAAAGAAAACUUAUCAAGCAGAAGCAUUUGGACAAUCCGAAGAACAAGAAACUGAUUUUGUUAUUGAAAAGGUGUUUUUGUGAAAUUUAUUUCAGAUAAUGAGCCAAUAAAAAUCAAGGACGUUUAAAA